GACAAUCUAAAAUGCAAAUGUGAAUUAUUGAAUAGAAAGUUGUCUGGAAAAACAUGACAAAAUUUUAACAUUACUGUGUAAAAAGAUCAGAAAAGAAGGUAUGCUGCCACUUUCUGCCUUUAAAACUUUAAAGGUAUUUCAGAAGCAACAUUUAAACAGCAGAGGAAAUUUUAAAGAUACAACCAAUUUGUGCCUGUCUUCAUCGUUACCUAUUGGCAUCUCGGGAGUUUUGGGCUGUUGUAUCCAACUUUGUAUUCCCAGUGACUGUUACAAAUAGUUUUUGAGUGAUCAUGAAGAGCGUGUGACUUAGAUACCAGUGCUAGUGCGGCAAAGAGUUUUACACAGUGAAACAGAAUAUUGGACUAUCCAUGGAAAGAAGGGAGAAGAUGGCAUUUGAGGUGAACAUGAUGAAAGAAAGACAUAACAUGAAGAUAACCUGAGGAUGUCUGACAUCAUCAGGAACAUUCUUCCUGUGAAGUUCCUUAAUUUAUAAAUCUCAACUGUAAACCAUAGGGAGAUGAUAGUUCCAAGAAAAGACACUUUUGCCAUCUUUGUUUUUAAUCUCAAUAAUUGGUACCAUGAGACUUGUUGCAGUAUUCCUCUUUUCAAGUGUUCAUCACUCCCAUCCAUCCCUGGGCCCAGGAGAACCCCUUGGCGAUAACGAUUGUGUGAUGACUGAAUAGGAAAAACUGAUGCCAUUGCUUCUGCCACCAUCUUCAGUAAAACCAAAGACAGUCUUCAUAAUGUACAGAGAUUCCUCAUUGAUGUGUUGCAAUGGACACUCCCUGUAGAUCACAAAAACAGGCUGAGAAGGCUGAAGAUUCAAAGUGACCUAAAGGGUGAUAUUGGAGAGAACUGUAACCAGGCAUGUUGACUGUUUUCAUUGUUGCCAUUGGACUAAAUCUCAGGAGCUUGAAUGAUGGAGGCAUUAUUACACAGAGAAGCUCAGGAUGGUAUAAUUUCAAGGCUUCAUUACAGUGCUCCCAUAAGUAUUAGGUGCACAUUUUAAAAAUUUUCAUUUAUCACAGGGAAAUUUAAAAUUGACUCAAAAAAUCAUCUUUUUCAAGAUUUCAAAGGACAUGGAAAUUUGUGAAGUAUAAUAUUUUACUUACAUGCCUUUUUUUCCUCUUCUAAUUCUGCCACCUCUGUGUUAUCUACUAUUAAUGAAAUUUUGUGCACAUCCUUUUGGGUGUAUUGAUAAAUUAAUAUGCAAGUUAUUUUUGGGGGAGUCUAUAUACUAGCUACAAAUUUUCUACACAGUAAACAUGGUUUAUAUAUAAAUUGUAAAUUUAUCCAACUAAUUUGUUGAAAUAAUUCCAAUGAAUUGGAACUGCUAGGACUAAGGGUAUCCAAAAUUUAUAGUUUUGAGUCCAAACUAGUUUUCCCUACUAUACAGACAGGACUUCAUCAAUCUUGUUCCCCAGUGUUUAUGUGGGUACAUUUCCUAAAACUGUACAAAUGUUACAUUUUUAAUCUUUGGUAAUAUGGUAUUACAAAGAAAUUGCUUUUCUUUUGUUACUGUUCAG